GGGGAUAGCCCGAGGAAACUCGGAUUAAUACCGUAUACCUCCUUCGGGAGAAAGAAGGCCUCUCUUUGAAGCUUUCGCUACUAGAUGAGCCUGCGUAAGAUUAGCUUGUUGGUGAGGUAAAGGCUCACCAAGGCUACGAUCUUUAGCGGGUCUGAGAGGACGAUCCGCCACAUUGGGACUGAGACACGGCCCAGACUCCUACGGGAGGCAGCAGUGGGGAAUAUUGGACAAUGGGCGCAAGCCUGAUCCAGCCAUACCGCGUGUGUGAAGAAGGCCCUAGGGUUGUAAAGCACUUUAAGUUGGGAAGAAAAGUUAUUGGCUAAUACCCAAUGACCGUGACAUUACCAUCAGAAUAAGGACC
rnacentral:rRNA from 1 species